rnacentral:rRNA from 1 species
CACGUAGGGUGCGAGCGUUGUUCGGAAUUACUGGGCGUAAAGCGCACGUAGGCGGCUUUGUAAGUUAGAGGUGAAAGCCUGGGGCUCAACUCCAGAAUUGCCUUUAAGACUGCAUCGCUUGAAUCAUGGAGAGGCGAGUGGAAUUCCGAGUGUAGAGGUGAAAUUCGUAGAUAUUCGGAAGAACACCAGUGGCGAAGGCGGCUCGCUGGACAUGUAUUGACGCUGAGGUGCGAAAGCGUGGGGAGCAAACAGGG